rnacentral:rRNA from 1 species
UGGGGGGAUUAGUGGCGAACGGGUGAGUAACACGUGAGUAACCUGCCCUUGACUCUGGGAUAAGCGUUGGAAACGACGUCUAAUACCGGAUAUGACUCCCGUCGGCAUCGGCUGGGGGUGGAAAGAUUUUUUGGUCAAGGAUGGACUCGCGGCCUAUCAGGUAGUUGGUGAGGUAAUGGCUCACCAAGCCGACGACGGGUAGCCGGCCUGAGAGGGUGACCGGCCACACUGGGACUGAGACACGGCCCAGACUCCUACGGGAGGCAGCAGUGGGGAAUAUUGCACAAUGGGCGAAAGCCUGAUGCAGCAACGCCGCGUGAGGGAUGACGGCCUUCGGGUUGUAAACCUCUUUUAGUAGGGAAGAAGGGAGCUUGCUCUUGACGGUACCUGCAGAAAAAGCACCGGCUAACUACGUGCCAGCAGCCGCGGUAAUACGUAGGGUGCAAGCGUUGUCCGGAAUUAUUGGGCGUAAAGAGCUCGUAGGCGGUUUGUCGCGUCUGCUGUGAAAUCUGGGGGCUCAACCCCCAGCCUGCAGUGGGUACGGGCAGACUAGAGUGCGGUAGGGGAGAUUGGAAUUCCUGGUGUAGCGGUGGAAUGCGCAGAUAUCAGGAGGAACACCGAUGGCGAAGGCAGAUCUCUGG